AGAGUUUGAUCAUGGCUCAGAGUGAACGCUGGCGGCAGGCCUAACACAUGCAAGUCGAGCGCCGUAGCAAUACGGAGCGGCAGACGGGAGAGUAACACGUGGGAACGUGCCCUUUGGUUCGGAACAACACAGGGAAACUUGUGCUAAUACCGGAUAAGCCCUUACGGGGAAAGAUUUAUCGCCAAAGGAUCGGCCCGCGUCUGAUUAGCUAGUUGGUGAGGUAACGGCUCACCAAGGCGACGAUCAGUAGCUGGUCUGAGAGGAUGAUCAGCCUCACUGGGACUGAGACACGGCCCAGACUCCUACGGGAGGCAGCAGUGGGGAAUAUUGGACAAUGGGCGCAAGCCUGAUCCAGCCAUGCCGCGUGGAUGAUGAAGGCCCUAGGGUUGUAAAGUCCUUUCGGCGGGGAAGGUAAUGACGGUACCCGCGGAAGAAGCCCCGGCUAACUUCGUGCCAGCAGCCGCGGUAAUACGAAGGGGGCUAGCGUUGCUCGGAAUCACUGGGCGUAAAGCGCACGUAGGCGGCUUUUUAAGUCAGGGGUGAAAUCCUGGAGCUCAACUCCAGAACUGCCUUUGAUACUGAGAAGCUUGAGUCCGGGAGAGGUGAGUGGAACUGCGAGUGUAGAGGUGAAACUCGUAGAUAUUCGCAAGAACACCAGUGGCGAAGGCGGCUCACUGGCCCGGUACUGACGCUGAGGUGCGAAAGCGUGGGGAGCAAACAGGAUUAGAUACCCUAGUAGUCC
rnacentral:rRNA from 1 species